UUCGCGCACGCGCAGACGUGUCCGGUUCGUCGCCGUACUUCGAAACACGUGGUACCCUUCCGACCACCGCGCCCCCUCCCCCACUUCGCCCCACUUUCUUCCGUAUGCAGAUAAUUACUCUUACUACAUAAGAGACGCUGAUGGAGGAGCGUCUUCAGGGUCUGAAUCUAACGCGUGUUCUACGAUGUAAAGAUGGGGACAUAAUUAGCAGAUGGUAAUUAAAUUGAACGAGUGACAAACAUUGGCAGAUGGCAAUGAACGCUCGUAAUUCUGCAUGUCAGUUUGCUUCAGGUGGAGUAAACGCGAUAUGUAGAUCGUAGACAAAUGUGAUGAAUGUUUGUAAUUAUGUACAGGUAUGUAGAAUGGUAUGUUUUUUUUUUUUUUUGGAGGGUUAUAUAAGUGACUCCAAUGUGAAAUGGGUGGAAUCUUUUACAGAUGAGUUCGUAACGAACAAAAUCAGAACCUAUCGAGUAUGAUGAAUUAAAAAAUGAAGAUAAGAUAAAACGAUUAAACAAGAUUAACUCCAAACAAUUAAAAGUUACUGAAUUAAGCGGUGACAAGGUGCUCGACGCGUAUCGACGACGAAACGGAGAUCCUCGAGCGUGCUCAGGAACACGUGGUGUCCUUCCAACGACUACCCUCGAGCCACUUCCUCCUGACGUACAGACAAGAAUUGACAAGAGAAAAGUAUCCUGUCAGAAGGUGCAGCUGUCGCCAAAUAAAUCGGUUACUUUCCACCCAACGUUCGCGAGAACGACGUACAAAGAGUUGAAUCGUGGACGAAACGAAGAUCCACGAUCGAAGAAAUUCGGCAUGCGAAUUACGCGCGAAUCUCGGUCGUCGCUCGGGACCACCGGUUCUGACGGCUAGAUUUUCAUUCGCUCGAACGGCUAGAAAGGACUCGGGACCGAAAGAUACCACGGACAGGGUACCGCGAAGGCAGGCUACUCGAAAACUCGACGUGUUCCAUGUUCGAGGGGGAGUAAAAACAGGUUUAAGAACGUAGUUGACCGGUCGACUUUUAAAUCGGUCAUCCGUCUAGCCGAGUAGAAAUCACGUCGAUUCGAAAUCAAGCACUCGUAUCAGCCAGGGAGGGAGCAUCGAA